rnacentral:rRNA from 1 species
CAGCAGCCGCGGUAAUACCGGCGGCCCGAGUGGCGGUCACUAUUAUUGGGCUUAAAGCGUCCGUAGCCGGGUUGGUUAGUCUCCCGGGAAAUCUGGCCGCUUAACGGUCAGAAUUCCGGGAGAUACUGCCAGCCUAGGGGCCGGGAGAGGCCGAGGGUAUUCCCGGAGUAGGGGGGAAAUCCUAUAAUCCCGGGAGGACGACCUGUGGCGAAGGCGCUCGGCUGGAACGGGUCCGACGGUGAGGGACGAAGGCCAGGGGAGCAAACCGGAUUAGAUACCCGGGUAGUCCUGGCGGUAAACGAUGCGGACUUUGUGUCGGACAAGCUAUGAGCUUGUCCGGUGCCGGAGGGAAACCGUUAAGUCUGCCGCCUGGGGAGUACGGCCGCAAGGCUGAAACUUAAAGGAAUUGGCGGG